GGGGUUUAGGUAAGGGGAGGGGAGGGAAAGGGCUAGUCAUAAAGGUGCGGCGGUGGCGGUACCUAGGCGGGUUCGCUCGACAGGGGGUUCCAAGGGGCGCUGCUUCGGGGUCCCGGUACCUCCCGCUGCUCUUGCGCCGGGGCUCCGUGAGGCGGCGCCGCCCCGGGCGCAGGGGCGUCUCCUUCUUCCAAGACCCCCUCGCCUUGCCGCGGCCGGCGCCCGUCCUCCCGCGGCGCAGCCGGCGGUUCCGGCGGCGCGAGUGGGGCGGUGGAGGGUGGCCCCCCUGCCCCUGCCCCUGCAUGCUGGGCUUCUGCUUGAUGUGGUGCGGCGCCGGCCUGAAGGACGCGAUGCUGGGGUUCGCCUCGGCGCUCUAGUAGGAGGCGGACCCCGCGCUCCACCUCCCGCCGCUGUCGAGGUCGCGGUGGAGCCCGUGGCUCGUGAGCCUCCACGACAGAAGGCCGAGCAGCCGCCGCUGUCCCCCGCUGAGGCUCACGCUGCUGCGGCUGCUCCUCCUCCACCGCGGGCGCGUUCCCGUCCCUCCGGCGACCCGCGCCGCUGACGACGACGAAGAGCACAGGAGCCGGACGGAGAAGACGAUGUAGAUGAAAGGAGACGACCCCGGCUAAGUCAUACUUGGACUCCGUCCAUAUCCGGUUAAACACCUCCCCCCGUCACUGCUACCAUAGGGAAACGUGCCGGGUCCUCGAAGAGGAUCGUUGAAGUACCGUCAACGUUACUACCCUUACCGUCUACGGACGGGAUUACAACGGAAGCCUCUUAAAUGUACGGUUUAACCCCUACUCUCGUCGCUCUAAAACCUACAAGACUUCCUUCUAAGACUUUAUCCGCUCGACUUUAGCCUUCGCUCGUACUCCGGUGAGCUCUUACGACUUCUUUUAUCACUUCAACAUACGAGCCCACCUCUACAGUGACCUCAAGGGAAACCUAGGUGGGUGUCGCUACUAAACCUACUCCUGCUCGAUCCUAAUCAAGGAGUUCUCUGUCCCCUUCUACUAAGUCUUGUGAGGUACGGUGGUAGCCAGUGGUACCUACUUUAAGACCUUAGUCUUUCGCACUUCCACCACUCACUACUAUUCCCAAACCUUUCACUCUCCAAUCUAGUUCUUCUUAAGCUGAGCGACCCCAUGCUUUUGUGUCGUUUUCGACGGUUCUUUGAACAACUAUACCACUUUUAGGACACCAGACGUCACCUUGGUGUAAACGACUUCUACGACCGUACGAAUAGACAACGUCCGGAACACUGACAAUACAAGUUCAUAAGGGUUUCCAGAGCGUUCCAGUUCCACGGGCACAGUGUUGCAUACGGAAGUCAAGGUGGGUCCGCUCACGGUCAUAAUCGAGGUGUAUUACGACACGGUGACGGCCACAAGGUAAGUCUCGUUGGACACGUUGCCUAACACGGGUUUGUUCUCAGUAGACGGACGAACCUCGAAGGACACGUUUGCAACAACAGUCUCAGUCUAGUUAGACACACGGAGCUACAAGGUAGUUAACCAGCAUCCCUAGUACUAGUCUUUCAAGUCGUUCUCCUACCAUCGCAACUUUCCGGAAGUCUACCGUCAUGACACCUAGUAUUUCUAUGACUGUCUAGUUUCGGUGGCCACCAAGUCAACGAGCCUCUCAAGAGUAAACAGCUACGUCUAUCGAGUUCUGCCUCCAGACAGUUUCUGAGUUAAGUCGUACGACCUGUGCAGUGCCAAGUCCUUAGGUACAGAAACUCCUUCGCACACCAGUUCUGCGUUUUCCUAAGACUGUUUUACGCUUGGGGACCAGAACUUCGUCGUUGUUUCUUCCUCUGACGUUCUCGUCUUCUUCUCUUCCACCCACGAUGUGGCUGAGGUGGCUCCGCAAGUUUAGCAGAGGCAUUUGACCGAAGAGGAACUCGGUUCCGUUUGUGCCACGUAAAACAACUACAGUCCGACUAAGAAGCACACCACGACCCUCGACACCCUCUGUAGCGGAUCAACAUUGGGUUGCUACGAUUCUAAACCACGACAUCGACAUUGUUCAAUCGAUCACAUCUUCCGAACGUCACACAAACCAAGGUGUCUUUUGGACAUUUUAGACGUAAACUGUAAUAACAUGACAUGAGCAAAUGGACGGGGAUUUCCACUUCGUCUCUACGACCCACAUAACUCGUCCAAAUCAGAACGGGUGAAACAG
rnacentral:rRNA from 1 species